rnacentral:rRNA from 1 species
GAUGAACGCUGGCGGCGUGCCUAAUACAUGCAAGUCGAGCGAAUGGAUUAAGAGCUUGCUCUUAUGAAGUUAGCGGCGGACGGGUGAGUAACACGUGGGUAACCUGCCCAUAAGACUGGGAUAACUCCGGGAAACCGGGGCUAAUACCGGAUAACAUUUUGAACCGCAUGGUUCGAAAUUGAAAGGCGGCUUCGGCUGUCACUUAUGGAUGGACCCGCGUCGCAUUAGCUAGUUGGUGAGGUAACGGCUCACCAAGGCAACGAUGCGUAGCCGACCUGAGAGGGUGAUCGGCCACACUGGACUGAGACACGGCCAAGACUCCUACGGGAGGCAGCAGUAGGGAAUCUUCCGCAAUGGACGAAAGUCUGACGGAGCGACGCCGCGUGAGUGAUGAAGGCUUUCGGGUCGUAAAACUCUGUUGUUAGGGAAGAACAAGUGCUAGUUGAAUAAGCUGGCACCUUGACGGUACCUAACCAGAAAGCCACGGCUAACUACGUGCCAGCCGCCGCAGUAA